rnacentral:rRNA from 1 species
AUGGGCAUGAGCUCUACAUGUGUUUUGGACUAUGCCAUGUCUUCUUUACAGAGGUGCUUGCCAUGUAUUUUUGUGAUUUAUGUGGUGACUAGAACAAGCAUGCAAACUAGGCUUCGUGAUGUUGCUGAUUUCAGUCCCUAUUCUGCUGUUAUUUUUAUGCCAUGUAAACUUGAUGCUACAGAGAGAUCCAUGCUUAUUUUGAGAUACUUCAGUAAGGAUGUUUUGAACAUAUGGUUAUGCUCUAUCCAUCAAUGCCCCUGUUUGCAAGUAUGGAGUAGUCUAGCAUGUCAUUUUCUUGCUCCACUUUUGCUAUAA